UACAGAGGGUGCAAGCGUUAAUCGGAAUUACUGGGCGUAAAGCGUGCGUAGACGGUUAUCUAAGUCGGAUGUGAAAUCCCCGGGCUCAACCUGGGAAUUGCAUUCGAGACUGAAUAGCUAGGGUGCGGAAGAGGGAAGCGGAAUUUCCGGUGUAGCGGUGAAAUGCGUAGAUAUCGGAAGGAACAUCAGUGGCGAAAGCGGCUUCCUGGUCCAGCACCGACGUUCAGGCACGAAAGCGUGGGGAGCAAACAGGAUUAGAUACCCUGGUAGUCCACGCCAUAAACGAUGAGGACUAGACGUUGGAGGGGUUAGCCUUUCAGUGUCGCAGCUAACGCGAUAAGUCCUCCGCCUGGGGAGUACGGCCGCAAGGUUGAA
rnacentral:rRNA from 1 species